rnacentral:rRNA from 1 species
CCAUGCCGCGUGCAGGAAGACGGCCUAUGGGUUGUAACUGCUUUUAUACGGGAAGAAUAAGGGACACGUGUGUCCUGGUGACGGUACCGUAAGAAUAAGGACCGGCUAACUCCGUGCCAGCAGCCGCGGUAAUACGGAGGGUCCGAGCGUUAUCCGGAAUUAUUGGGUUUAAAGGGUCCGCAGGCGGGCGAUUAAGUCAGGGGUGAAAUGGUGCGGCUCAACCGUAGCACUGCCCUUGAUACUGGUUGUCUUGAGUCAUAGUGAAGUGGCCGGAAUAUGUAGUGUAGCGGUGAAAUGCAUAGAUAUUACAUAGAACACCGAUUGCGAAGGCAGGUCACUAACUAUCGACUGACGCUGAUGGACGAAAGCGCGGGGAGCGACGGGAUUAGAUACCCCGGUAGUCCACGCCGUAACGAUGGAU